GAACAUUGAAACUGGCUAGGGAAAAUGAUUGGAUAGAAAAUUUUAUUCUAUUCAUUUAUCCCUAGCCUACAAAAUGAAAAAA
ensembl:miRNA